AUUGAACGCUGGCGGCAGGCCUAACACAUGCAAGUCGAGCGGCGGGGCGGACGGGGAAGUAAUGCCAAGGUAUGUGACAGGGCGUGGGGGAUGAGGUCCGGAAACGGACGCUAAUACCACAUACUAUCAGAUUAGCCUAGGCCGGAUUCGCUAGUGGGUGGGGUAAUGGCCAACCAAGGCGACGACCCGUAACUGGUCUGAGAGGAUGAUCAGUCACACUGGAACUGAGACACGGUCCAGACUCCUACGGGAGGCAGCAGUGGGGAAUAUUGGACAAUGGGCGAAAGCCUGAUCCAGCCAUGCCGCGUGUGUGAAGAAGGUCUUCGGGUUGUAAAGCCCUUUUGUUGGGAAAGCGGUACCCAAAGAAUAAGCACCGGCUAACUUCGUGCCAGCAGCCGCGGUAAUUC
rnacentral:rRNA from 1 species